UUGAUACACCAGUUCUCAUAUGAUCACAGAAGUUAAGUAACAUUGAGCCUGGUCAGUACCUAAGUGGGUGACCACUUGGGAACACCAGGUGCUGUAAG